GGCCCUCCCUGUUCCUGAAGACUGAGAGGGACAUCCUUAUCCCCAGAGCCAGGGAAGUCAAGGCUGAGAGGCCUCUAUAAACAGACCCUGUUGCUUUUACUAAUUUACUACCUCAAGCCUAAACUCUGUUUAUAUUCCUCUCUUAUUACAUACCUCGAACCUCCAUUUCUUUGUCCUGUCAUUCCUCACAAAUUUAUUGUUUCUUUGUGUAAAAGCUAUAUAAACUAUGUGCUUUGUUCAUUCUCCAAGUGUCAUUUUUAUGAUUUUCCAUGCACAUGUAAUUAAAUUGGGUUUUUCUCCUGUUAAUAUGGUCGUACAGCUACAAGAACACAGGAAGGGUAAAAGAGGGAAGUUCCCCACCUCAACAAGAUCAUUUUUUUUUAAUUUAUAUUUCUUCUAAUGACUAAUGAUGGUGAGAAUUUGCAUGUGCUUGUUGGUCAUUUCUAUCUUUUUCGUGAAGUGUUUGUCCAAAUCUUGUGCUCAUAUUUUAAAAUUCGGUUGUUUGUCCUCUCUUAUUAUUCAGUUAUAAAUAUUCUUUUUAUAGUGUCUUCCUUUAUUAAUGAUGCCUUUUAAAGAGCAGAACUUUUUAAUUUUAAUGACGUCUAGUUGACCUGAAGCCAAUGUUUGCCCACCAGCCCUGCAAAACUGUUGGAAACUUUGCUCAGCUUCUCGGCCUCUUGGCUUCUGUUUACAGAUUUUUCAACUGGUCUCUUGGGGCAUGCUGGGGAAACAGAAUCCCAUACCCUGCAGCAUGUUGCUUCAUCCAGCUCCAGAACUGGCGAGAGAAAUCAGAUCCCUGACGGGUGCGGUGGGGCCUGGUGUCGCAGCUGCCACAGCUCACACUACCUCAGGCACAGUGGAAACAAGCACUCACCUCGGGGGAGGCUGGGCAGCCUGUGGACCUUGUUGAUGAAGGGGUGGUGACUUCAUGUCCAUGUCUGUCAUGUGGCACUACCAGGGUCAUCCUCGCCACUGUAAUUUGAAUACGUGUGGCCAGUGGGAAAUGAUGACCUUUCCUAAGAGAAGAGGACGUCUCUUCAGUAAAGGGAAUAUGCAUGGCUGUGGUUCCCUGCAAGAACCUAAUCUACAGCCCUCGUCUCAACAUCAAGAAACACUUUAUCACAACAUUGCAUAUGGAGUUAAAAAACACACGUGUGCAUUAUGAUCUCAAUAUAUGAUAUGUAUGUCUAUAAAACAUAUAUGCAUGUAUGAAGAUGUAUACUAAAAUGUUACUGAUUAUAACAGAAGCAUGGAAUUGUGGGUGCAAGCUAAUUUCUGUGCACUUUUUUGUAUUGUCAUCAUUUUAUUUAAUGGGCAUAUCGUUUUUUUUUCCCAAAAAAACUUUAAAAAUACUGUUUUGUCAGAUGUCGUGCUCCUCUCAGCACUCAAAUCAGUUAAAACAUGAAAUGCAUAGAAUAGGACAUGGCGCAUAGUCUGUUCUCAAUAAAUGUUGACUAUUAUGUUUACUGCAUAGGAAAGUAAAUUCAUCUUUUUCACGAACUGCAAAUUUAAAAUAUCCAUAUUUAAAGGCAUGAGUCUUAAAGAGCAUAUGGAUCUACAAAGGUACCAAUGAUCCACCAAGGAUGCUUGUCUCCUUUUUUUUUUUAAUGCAGUAUAAUUGAAACAGGAAAAAAGAUCUGUGAUAACUAUUAGACAGGGGAAUAUGAGAGAUUUGAAGUCAGCAGCUCUGGGCUGUGCGUGCUGCCCCUGGUUGGCUGAGGUUAUAAUCUGGACAGAAAAGAAUUAAAGAAUAUCUUGAGAGGAAAAUGAUGAGCAAAGGAAGAGUAGAAAAGAAAAGAGAGCAGAAAUGGAAAGGGGAGAAAAGAGUCAGAUAUAAAGAUUAAUUGGAGGAAAGAAAAAGAGGAAGAAAGUGAUGAUUGGACAAACAGCAUCUGCAAAGACCAAUUGAUGUUCCUACAUGUGCCAGACAGUCUGCUAAGUGUUUGACAAGAACUCGCUCAGUUAAUUCUAGAACAACCUCUGGAAUUGGUAUUUUCUUGUCCCUAUUGAACAGACGAGAAAACUAAGGCUUUCAGAGUUUAAGCGAUUUUUCCCCAGAUUAUGUGCUGCAUCUCUUUAGUGAGAUGUGUCCUGGAAAGCCUGAUUCUCUCUGAGCCUCCCUUUGGCCUGAUUUGUCUUUUUGAGGGUGUGAUGUCAGAUCUUCCCAGAUUGUAAAAUAAACAAACAGAAUAUCUGCCUCUCGUCAGAUGUCCGGUAUGUUGUCAUUAUUUUCUAUCAUCCUGUGAAUCAAGCAGGUUUAAUAAGGCUCGUAGUAACUUAAUAUGAAGAGAAAUGCUGAG